rnacentral:rRNA from 1 species
AUACGGCUCAGUAACACGCUAGUCAAUCUAACCUAUGGACGGGGAUAACCUCGGGAAACUGAGGAUAAACCCCGAUAGAUCAUAAUGCCUGGAACGGUUUAUGGUCCAAAUGAUUCGUCGCCGUAGGGUGGGACUGCGGCCUAUCAGCUUGUUGGUGAGGUAAUGGCCCACCAAGGCUAUUACAGGUACGGGCUCUGAGAGGAGAAGCCCGGAGAUGGGUACUGAGACACGGACCCAGGCCCUAUGGGGCGCAACAGGCGAAAAACCUUUGCAAUGUGCGCAAGCACGACAAGGUUAAUCCGAGUGUUUCCUGUUAAAGGAAUCUUUUGUUAGUUCUAAAACCACUGAUGAAUAAGGGGUGGGCAAGUUCUGGUGUCAGCCGCCGCGGUAAAACCAGCACCUCAAGUGGUCAGGAUGAUUAUUGGGCCUAAAGCAUCCGUAGCCUGCUUUGUAAGUUUUCGGUUAAAUCCAUACGCUCAACGUAUGGGCUGCCGGGAAUACUGCAAAGCUAGGGAGUGGGAGAGGUAGACGGUACUCGGUAGGAAGGGGUAAAAUCCUUUGAUCUAUUGAUGACCACCUGUGGCGAAGGCGGUCUACCAGAACACGUCCGACGGUGAGGGAUGAAGGCUGGGGGAGCAAACCGGAUUAGAUACCCGGGUAGUCCCAGCUGUAAACGAUGCA